GAAUGUAACAAAUAGAUUUAUUAUAUGAUACUAGUAAACAGACAGUAAAUUCUUCAAAGUCGAAUAUGUAA
rnacentral:ribozyme from 1 species